CUAGUUGCUGGCAGUCCUGCUCCAAGGGGAGAUUUUCUCAUCUACCUUUAACAGAAGCACAGGCACCAGAAGUUUGACUGGCUGGAUUACAAAGGAAAAACCAUCUUUCACCGCAGAAAAGCCUGUCCUUCAUUUAUGGAAGCCAGAAGCUGUCAGGAGAGAAAAGCUGAAGAUUGACAGAGGAAAGACACAGCAAAAGUGCUCCCAGAACAUUGUACAAAAAAGAUAAUCUUAAGAUGUUGACCUCUUACAGAAGUGUGUAUAAUCAAAGUGAAAAACAGCAAUAUA
rnacentral:lncRNA from 1 species